rfam:Bifidobacterium callitrichos DSM 23973 Contig04, whole genome shotgun sequence.
UUUGUGGAGGGUUCGAUUCUGGCUCAGGAUGAACGCUGGCGGCGUGCUUAACACAUGCAAGUCGAACGGGAUCCCGGGUUUCGGCCUGGGUGAGAGUGGCGAACGGGUGAGUAAUGCGUGACCGACCUGCCCUGUACACCGGAAUAGCUCCUGGAAACGGGUGGUAAUGCCGGAUGCUCCGACAUGCUGCAUGGCGUGUUGGGAAAGAUUUAUCGGUAUGGGAUGGGGUCGCGUCCUAUCAGGUAGUCGGCGGGGUAACGGCCCACCGAGCCUAUGACGGGUAGCCGGCCUGAGAGGGCGACCGGCCACAUUGGGACUGAGAUACGGCCCAGACUCCUACGGGAGGCAGCAGUGGGGAAUAUUGCACAAUGGGCGCAAGCCUGAUGCAGCGACGCCGCGUGCGGGAUGACGGCCUUCGGGUUGUAAACCGCUUUGAUUGGGAGCAAGCGAGAGUGAGUGUACCUUUCGAAUAAGCACCGGCUAACUACGUGCCAGCAGCCGCGGUAAUACGUAGGGUGCAAGCGUUAUCCGGAAUUAUUGGGCGUAAAGAGCUCGUAGGCGGUUCGUCGCGUCUGGUGUGAAAGUCCAUCGCUUAACGGUGGAUCUGCGCCGGGUACGGGCGGGCUGGAGUGCGGUAGGGGAGACUGGAAUUCCCGGUGUAACGGUGGAAUGUGUAGAUAUCGGGAAGAACACCAAUGGCGAAGGCAGGUCUCUGGGCCGUUACUGACGCUGAGGAGCGAAAGCGUGGGGAGCGAACAGGAUUAGAUACCCUGGUAGUCCACGCCGUAAACGGUGGAUGCUGGAUGUGGGGCCCUUUCCACGGGUCCCGUGUCGGAGCUAACGCGUUAAGCAUCCCGCCUGGGGAGUACGGCCGCAAGGCUAAAACUCAAAGAAAUUGACGGGGGCCCGCACAAGCGGCGGAGCAUGCGGAUUAAUUCGAUGCAACGCGAAGAACCUUACCUGGGCUUGACAUGUUCCCGGCGACGGCAGAGAUGUCGUUUCCCUUCGGGGCGGGUUCACAGGUGGUGCAUGGUCGUCGUCAGCUCGUGUCGUGAGAUGUUGGGUUAAGUCCCGCAACGAGCGCAACCCUCGCCCCGUGUUGCCAGCAUGCAGUGAUGGGAACUCACGGGGGACCGCCGGGGUUAACUCGGAGGAAGGUGGGGAUGACGUCAGAUCAUCAUGCCCCUUACGUCCAGGGCUUCACGCAUGCUACAAUGGCCGGUACAACGGGAUGCGACAAGGUGACUUGGAGCGGAUCCCUGAAAACCGGUCUCAGUUCGGAUUGGAGUCUGCAACCCGACUCCAUGAAGGCGGAGUCGCUAGUAAUCGCGAAUCAGCAACGUCGCGGUGAAUGCGUUCCCGGGCCUUGUACACACCGCCCGUCAAGUCAUGAAAGUGGGUAGCACCCGAAGCCGGUGGCCUAACCGCAAGGAUGGAGCCGUCUAAGGUGAGACUCGUGAUUGGGACUAAGUCGUAACAAGGUAGCCGUACCGGAAGGUGCGGCUGGAUCACCUCCUUU